UACGUAGGGUGCAAGCGUUAAUCGGAAUUACUGGGCGUAAAGGGCGCGUAGGCGGCCCGCUAAGUCGAACGUGAAAUCCCCAGGCUCAACCUGGGAACUGCGUCCGAUACUGGCAGGCUUGAAUCCGGGAGAGGGAUGUGGAAUUCCAGGUGUAGCGGUGAAAUGCGUAGAUAUCUGGAGGAACACCGGUGGCGAAGGCGGCAUCCUGGACCGGUAUUGACGCUGAGGCGCGAAAGCUAGGGGAGCAAACGGG
rnacentral:rRNA from 1 species